UCGGGAUAGCCACUGGAAACGGUGAUUAAUACCGGAUACUCCUUCUUGUUAUAAGACAAGUCGGGAAAGUUUUUCGCUAAGGGAUCAGUCUAUGUUCCAUCAGCUUGUUGGUGAGGUAAUGGCUCACCAAGGCUAUGACGGAUAUCUGGUUUGAGAGGAUGAUCAGACACACUGGAACUGAGACACGGUCCAGACUCCUACGGGAGGCAGCAGUGAGGAAUAUUGCACAAUGGAGGAAACUCUGAUGCAGCAACGCCGCGUGGAGGAUGACGCAUUUCGGUGUGUAAACUCCUUUUAUUAGGGAAGAUAAUGACGGUACCUAAUGAAUAAGCACCGGCUAACUCCGUGCCAGCAGCCGCGGUAAUACGGAGGGUGCAAGCGUUACUCGGAAUCACUGGGCGUAAAGGGUGCGUAGGCUGGCUUUUAAGUCAGAUGUGAAAUCCAAUGGCUCAACCAUUGAACUGCAUUUGAAACUGAAAGCCUAGAGUUCAGAAGGGGCAGAUGGAAUUAGUGGUGUAGGGGUAAAAUCCGUAGAUAUCACUAGGAAUAUCAAAAGCGAAGGCGAUCUGCUGGGAUGAUA
rnacentral:rRNA from 1 species